rnacentral:rRNA from 1 species
UACGGGGGGGGCAAGCGUUGUUCGGAAUUACUGGGCGUAAAGGGCUCGUAGGUGGCCAACUAAGUCAGACGUGAAAUCCCUCGGCUUAACUGGGGAACUGCGUCUGAUACUGGAUGGCUUGAGUUUGGGAGAGGGACGCGGAAUUCCAGGUGUAGCGGUGAAAUGCGUAGAUAUCUGGAGGAACACCGGUGGCGAAGGCGGCGUCCUGGACCAACACUGACACUGAGGAGCGAAAGCCAGGGGAGCAAACGGG